rnacentral:rRNA from 1 species
UGCGGAGGGUGCGAGCGUUGUCCGGAAUCACUGGGCGUAAAGGGCGCGUAGGCGGCCUGAUAAGUAGGGGGUGAAAUCUUGCGGCUUAACCGCAAGGCUGCCUUCUAAACUGUCGGGCUCGAGCACAGUAGAGGCAGGUGGAAUUCCCGGUGUAGCGGUGGAAUGCGUAGAGAUCGGGAAGAACAUCAGUGGCGAAGGCGGCCUGCUGGGCUGUUGCUGACGCUGAGGCGCGACAGCGUGGGGAGCAAACAGG